UACGUAGGGACCAAGCGUUGUUCGGAUUUACUGGGCGUAAAGGGCGCGUAGGCGGCAAUUCAAGUCAUCUGUGAAAUCUCCGGGCUUAACCCGGAACGGUCAGAUGAUACUGCUUUGCUAGAGUGCGGAAGGGGCAAUCGGAAUUCUCGGUGUAGCGGUGAAAUGCGUAGAUAUCAAGAGGAACACCUGAGGUGAAGACGGGUUGCUGGGCCGACACUGACGCUGAGUGCGCGAAAGCCAGGGGAGCAAACGGG
rnacentral:rRNA from 1 species